AUACGGAGGGGGCUAGCGUUGUUCGGAAUUACUGGGCGUAAAGCGCACGUAGGCGGAUUAAAAAGUUAGAGGUGAAAUCCCAGGGCUUAACCCUGGAACUGCCUUUAAAACUAGUAGUCUUGAGUUCGAGAGAGGUGAGUGGAAUUCCAAGUGUAGAGGUGAAAUUCGUAGAUAUUUGGAGGAACACCAGUGGCGAAGGCGGCUCACUGGCUCGAUACUGACGCUGAGGUGCGAAAGCGUGGGGAGCAAACAGGAUUAGAAACCCCGGUAGUCC
rnacentral:rRNA from 1 species